CGAGGACGACGCAUCCCCCUCCGCCUCCGCCUCUCCCAACGACCCAGGACGGCGGUCGCUGACCCACAGCACGGGUAUCCUGGGAUACCUGGUGAUACAAAUUCCAGCAAGCAAGGCAGUCUACACCUUCAGGAAGAGAACUUCACCUCCAGAGUGGAUUUUGUGUUAAAUGUCAGCAACGGGGAAGGACAUGUGAGGCUGGAGGUAGGAAGGCGAAUGACCUGUGAUUUCACCAGUGUGGGUAACUUUCUGGUGUGGAAACUCCAAAUUCGGUCAAGAUGACGGAGUAAAAAUGUAGUGGCUCUCACUCUCCCCUAUUAACCUCUGAAAACCCAGAAAAUAUCACCCCAGGAAAAAA